AAUCUUGAAUUUGGUCAAUUCUCACAACCGCAUUUACUUUAAUAUUGUUAAAUUAUAAAUAGAAGAAAGUUAAUAAUUAAUCUUAAAAAUAUACAUUUGAUUCAGGUUACAUAAAUUAUUAUGAUAAAUAAAUUUAGUCAGACAUAAUAAAUUCAGCAACAACAAUUAUAAUUGAGAAGUAUACGAUCAUGUAAUAAUUAAAAAUAAAUAUAUAAAAAAUUUUAAACACUACCAUUUGAAAAUAUAUUACUUAAUUAUCUAUUUUUCUCUUCUUUUUUUUUUUAUUUUUUAUUUUUAUCUCAGCUUCUCUCUCCGCCCGCAUCUGCCCUUCGGUUUUGCUUCUCCUUAUGCGCUUAGUUUCUAUGUCUACUUCUGCAAGCCUGCUCCACCAGCUUCCUUCUCUCCGAAUUUUUUGAUUUUCUGCUUUUUCUCUCUGUCUCCGCCAAGCUCGCUGUUCGGUCCCAAGCUCGCAGCUGCAUUUUUGUUGCUUUCGCAUCGGAUUUCCACCAGCUCCCGUCUCUUGGUCUUCCGUCAAGCUCUUCCCUUCUCUCCUGUCAGAUCUCCUCCUUUUUGUAGGUGGCAAAAUGUAGGGUUCUUCCUUUCGCACACAACCUUCUUUCCUUUUCUAGUUGUCUUUUUAUGUUUCUGUAAUUUUUUUUUUAAUUUUUCAAACCGGCGUCGUUUUGGCCAUUUCAAGCUCCCAAAACAGCAUCGUUGGAGUGUUGGUCCUGGGUUGGGUUGCUG
rnacentral:lncRNA from 1 species